rnacentral:rRNA from 1 species
AGGACUAACGCUGGCGGCGUGCCUAACACAUGCAAGUCGAGCGGGGUAGCAAUACCCAGCGGCAGACGGGUGAGUAACGCGUGGUCAACCUUCCGUUGAAUGGGGGAUAACUAGCCGAAAGGUUAGCUAAUACCGCAUACGAUCUUUUGAAGGCAUCUUUAAAAGAUGAAAGGAGCAAUUCGUUCAACGACGGGACCGCGUCCCAUUAGCUAGAUGGUGGGGUAAUGGCCUACCAUGGCAACGAUGGGUAGCUGGUUUGAGAGAGCGACCAGCCACACUGGGACUGAGAAACGGCCCAGACUCCUACGGGAGGCAGCAGUGAGGAAUUUUCCGCAAUGGGCGAAAGCCUGACGGAGCGACGCCGCGUGUGGGAAGAAGGCCUUCGGGUCGUAAACCACGUGUCGAAGGGGACGAUAAUGACGGUACCUUGGAGGAAGCCCGGCUAACUACGCGCCAGCAGCCGC